AGACAGUUCACAAAACUACUUCUUUUACUACUACUUCUUUCAAAUGUGAUUCUAUUACUAAGAAACGUGGAAGGACGCCUAUUGCACCAGGAAUGAGAAUAUUUUCAAUGUUCAAGGAAGGGAUAACAUUCAAGCACUGCCGCAGCUGUCAAGCAUCCUGUGAUUCAAAUUUGGUCUGGAAUUGCCAAGUCACAUAUGAGAAGGCUUGGUUGGACCCUGUCACCUUCAUGCCUCCUGCCAGUGGCUGGGAUCCUAUCGGAGUCCAUGAUCUACAGCUACCGCUCAAACUAUGGUUCUCCGUGAGCGGUGGGUUCUCAGACUGACCAUGUGGCCUGGUGUUUCGAUAUCUCCAGAAGCGGCCUGGAAGAGAUGUCUUGGGGGUGGCGGGUCUGUCCUAUAGAUCAGUGGUCCCCAACCACCGGACCACGAGGAAACUAUAUGAUUUGGCGAUAUGAAACGAUAUGAGUCAGCUGCACCUUUCCUUAUUACCCUGUCACGCACUGUUGAACUUGAACACCACCCCCCACCCCCAUCGGCCCGUCCGCAAGAAUAUCGUCAAUAUUAAACUGGUCCGCGGUGCAAGAAAGGUUGGGGACCCCUGCCGUAGAUGACUCGAUUCAUUGUCGAUGUCGCUGACUGGAGACUAAAACAUCGGGACAGAUGGCGGUGUGCACUGCUGUUGGAAGAAGGCCCUGUACUCGAGCGAUCCUCUCCCUCUCUCUGAUGAUGAGUGAGAGCCUGUCAGUCCUCGAGUCAGGGGACUCGGAGAAGUGACGUGGUAGAUUGUAACAUCGGAACAGCGAGCUGCUGAUGUCCACUCUCGUUGUUGCUUCCGCAUGCAAGGGGGAGAGGGGAACCUUGGGGUUCUGCCAUUGCUGUCAUUCAUUCUUUGGGGUUUUUACUCUUUCAUGGAUGUCUGUGAAGAGUAAGAAUUUCAGGCUGUAUACUGUAUACAUUCUCUGAUA